ACUGCUUCCAGGGAAGGCUUUCCUGAGAGACCAUCAUGUAAGAUACCAUCUCUGUCCAAGCCAGUGGACAGAGAAUGUGCCAGCAGCUGGACCCCAGGGGUUCUAGCCAUCCCAGCCAGGCACCACACAUAGCGGACUCCUCCGGGGCUCAGCACAGCAUCUGGUGCUAAGAUAUCAGGAUGUAUCUGAUGAACAAAUGAAUGGAAGAAAGAAGAGCCGCACGGCACUGCCCUCUGUGAGGAUGCUCCAAGAGCCCUACAACUAGCCGUGUCUUCGGGGGCUCUGCGGAAGGGAAGACGCACUGCAAGUGUUAUUAUAAUAAUCGUGACAGGCUCCAAGCCUGGUAAUCAUUAACCAUCCCCAGGGGAGCUAGUUAGCUAGCAAAGAAGAAAGCCCCCUCCCCGGGGCUGGGAGUGCCCGGUGCCCUGACGGCACUUGGCUUCAAACUGAACUCCCCGUGCCUUCUCACGGAGCCGAUCUGUCUAUAAAAUUGGUGGUUUCUAUAGAAACAGAAGCACUGUAGUAAAGCGAAGGGAAAUCGUACAUUCUGUCAGCGUACAGAGAUCAAUCCUGUUCUUAUACAGGGCCAGGACUCUUUCACGCUUUAUUUUUGAGCAUCUCAGCUUUCAUUUCCAUCCCAGCCGUCUCAUCUCAUAUUUAUGAGGCUCCCGCCCUGGGAAUCUCUUCCCUCCUCGCCUAGCUAGCUGCCUUUGUUAACUAUGACCACAGGCAGAAGUAUGUAGAAGAGCAUGGAAUCCCCAGCAUCCCCUUGGGGUGCCAACAGCUCCAAACCCCAAUAUCAGAGGAAGAAGUGGAAUCCCUACUCUGGGUAGCACGUGAAAUGAUGGCCAGGUCCCCUACUGGUGAGGCCCCAUGACCCCCUUGACUGGACAUUAUAAAAAUCUGCUCUGUAAUCAGGUACUUGUUUUACAUGCCUAUACCUUAGCUUAGACAGUCUCCAAGCUCUUAAAUAUUAAUAUUUCUGCAAUCUCUGUUUUGUGCCCCAAAGUGCAAGUGGCUUCCUAACAGGCAAGGAUUUAGAACUUAGCCAGUAUUUGAAUUACUCAUGCCAUCUCUUGAUCAUCUACAGAGAAAAUUAGAAAAGGUACAGGUUGUAUUUUAAUAUUUUAGAUGAAGGUCCAAAUUUUGAGAUGCGUGUUAACUCAUAUUUUUAUCUUGUGUCACUCUUAAAACAGAAAUAACGUGUUUUCCUCAUCAAAGAGGCCUUUAAUAAUACCUAUUUGAAUCUGACCUAACAAAA